rnacentral:tRNA from 4 species
GGGCCUAUAGCUCAAUUGGCAGAGCCCCCGGCUCAUAACCGGUUUGUUGCGUGUUCGAGUCACGCUAGGCCCACCA